ensembl:lncRNA
UUCAUGGACUGUCCUGCAGGCCCUUCGUGUCACUCUGGUGCCCAGUUCCCUUCCCAGUGAGAUGGACAAAAUGGUGCUCUGCAGGUCAUGGGCUUAGGCCAGUGAUCUUCACACGCUGAGUCACUCACCCUUGUGAGAUACAAAUCAUGGAUUCCAGGGUGCACCGGCUUCAGAAGUUGUGAUACCUGGGGUCAGUAGUUGUGGAUCCUGGACUCUAGAGCACAGGCUUGAUAACUGUGAGGCUUAGUUGCUCCGCGACAUGUGGGAUCUUCCUGGAUUGGGCAUCAAACCUGCAUCUCCUGCAUUGCCAGGCGGAUUCUUUACCACUGAGCCACCAGGGAAGCCUGACCUGCUUUCGUCUUAAAAGAAGUUCGUCAGGAACCCUCCCUCUGCAACCUGCUCCCACCCCUUUCCCAGCCAAAGACGUUCUUAGAAGGAAAAAUGAUAUAGUUCUGAAACUUUAGGUUUCAUAAAGAAAGGAAGAGCAUUAGAGAAGGAAUAAAUAAUAGUAAUAUGUCUUUUUUUAAAAUUUCAGUUGAUCCAACAGAUAGUAGUUUGCUCAAAAUACUAGUAGAACCAAGGUAUUUGGUGCUUGUAGGUCAUGCACAGUGAAAUGAAUGACAGUGAUGCUAUCAGAGAUGAGAGGGAGGGCUUGGGGAUACCCUGUUAUAAAGUGCUUGCGUUACCCAUGAGAUUGUAUAGUUGUAUCUGAAAAGGACUUGGAUGAAUAAAUGUAUAGGACAGCUGCUAAAAGAAUAAAUUAAAUAAAAAAGUGUAACUAAUAUCCUAAGAGAGUACAAAAAAUGGGAUUAUAUAAAAUGCUCAAUUAAAACAAAAAAAAAGAUUAAAAAAAUACGAGAAAAAAAAGAAACAAGAAGGGCAAUGAAUAGAAAAGAGUAACAACUAUGGCAGAUACUAAUUUGAUUAUAUCAAUAAUCACUUUAAAUGUCAAUGGUCUAAAUACACCAACUGAAAAAAAC